rnacentral:rRNA from 1 species
GACGAACGCUGGCGGCGUGCUUAACACAUGCAAGUCGAACGGUAAGGCCCCAGCUUGCUGGGGUACACGAGUGGCGAACGGGUGAGUAACACGUGGGUGACCUGCCCCGCACUUCGGGAUAAGCCUGGGAAACUGGGUCUAAUACCGGAUAGGACCGCACCGUGAGGGUGUGGUGGAAAGUUUUUCGGUGUGGGAUGGGCCCGCGGCCUAUCAGCUUGUUGGUGGGGUAAUGGCCUACCAAGGCGGCGACGGGGAGCCGGCCUGAGAGGGUGGACGGCCACAUUGGGACUGAGACACGGCCCAGACUCCUACGGGAGGCAGCAGUGGGGAAUAUUGCACAAUGGGUGGAAGCCUGAUGCAGCGACGCCGCGUGGGGGAUGACGGCCUUCGGGUUGUAAACUCCUUUCACCAUCGACGAAGGUUUUCUGACGGUAGAUGGAGAAGAAGCACCGGCUAACUACGUG